UAGAUUACAUUUUUGAGAGCCCACAGCAAUUCUCUGUCCUACGUGGCGCUCUCAAAAAUCUCUAUUUUGCUCUCUUUGAAUUCUACUACUCAACGCAAAUCAUCUCUUAAUCUCCUAUUAAUCUGCCUUCUUUUUUUUUUACUUUUUUAUUUAAGGCAAUUUUAAUGAGCCGAUAAUCAUCUAUAUCAUGUUCUCAAAAAUUCAUUCAAUCAAUCAAUCAGCUGAUAAUCUUCACAAAAUUCAUCAAUUUCUGUUAUAUCCACCGAUGAUUUCUCUCGCAAUAUCAAUCAAUCCGGCCGUUUCUGUUCCAAAUUUCUCUAUUAUUCAAUCAAUCUUUCUCCUAAAUCCUAAUCUCAAACAAUAGGCGGUUAAAUUGAUUUAGCUCCUCACCAUCUCCAAAAUCAAUGGCGGUGGGCCAAGAUCUCUGUCAUUUGCCUCUCGAUUCACCAUUCUCCUUCAUUGUUUCUAUGAACUAUGGCUCGAUCACAUCUUGAUUCUCAUUGUUUAAUGCCUUCGUUAAAGAUAAAAAGCCUAACCUCAGCUUUUCAAUCGUUAAUCAUACCAUGUAGUAUUUUCAACUAUAAAUCUUUGGAAAAUGGUUUCUACACCUAUCGUCGGAAAUUCUUAUUUGUUUUCCAGGUCAUCUUUGGUUAAUUGGCUAUAAAUUUUUGAGAUUAUAGUAACAAAAGCAAACAAGGAGUCAAAUGGAAGGAAGCAGAGAAUAGGGAAUAUUUGUGCAAUUUUUGAAAAUUUUGAAGUAUGGAAGAUUGAGAGCUGCUGGAGAUAGCUACGGGAAGAGAGAACCUUAGUAUUUGGGAUUGAAAAAAUAAUCGACUUUCUUAGUUCUAGCUCUAGAAUUCAAUUAGUAUAUUAUUAUUAUUAUUAUUAUUAUUAUUAUUAUUAUUAUUAUUAUUAUUUAAUUGAAACCUAUAUGAAUAGAUCGGCCACUGGUGAGAGUCUUGGUACGAGUUUAUGACUAAUUUUUCGUUUUCUCUCUUAUGGAGAAGAUUAAAGAUUCACAGUCGAACAAUUUGGAUUCAGUAUAAAUUAUUAUAUUUGGUGACUAUUUCUGUUUAUUAUUGAUUAGUUACGAUUA